rnacentral:ncRNA from 1 species
UCUUAUCAAGAGUAGGUGGAGGGAAUUGGCCCAAUGAAACCCGGCAACCAAUCGUUAUUGCAAGAUACGGUGCUAAAUCCAACAGAAAUUACAUUCUGGGAGAUAAGA